rnacentral:lncRNA from 1 species
AUUCAACCACGUGAUAACUACAGUUAGAACGUGAGUGAGAAGCAUGGCGAAGUGAUGUUAACUAUCGAAUGAAAAUAAACACUUAUUUAGUGAUCAUAUUUCUAGCGAUUUGUUUUCAAAGAAGAAAAAUUUUCUAUGUUGAGUAAAGAAAGUGAUCGUGAAAUGGCGAAAUUAAAUUAUGAAUUGUAACGCUUUAAGUCUCCUGUGCGGCCUUCCUGGAAGUGGAAAAACAUUCUUAGCUAAAAGCAUCUUUCAUCAUCUCCAGGAAAAACAAUUGGAGAAAGAGAAUGAAGCAAAAAGUGACUCAAUAAAUUAUGUUCCUAACAUAAACUUACAUUUAAUUAACUACGAUGAAUUAGUACCACUUUCUGUACAGACAGAAAUGGUAUAAAUUUUACUAAAUUAUCUAUACUGUAUUUCAUAUUUUAUUAUUUUUAUAUGAAAUAUCGUCAAUAUUUAUGUUUUACAUUUAAAAAAUGAGGUAAUAGCUUUGUGUCAAGUCUGCUUUUGAGGGUUUCUUUGAAUAUUGGAUAUAAAUUAGAAAAAAAAAGUUAAAACUGAAUUCUGUAAAUACAAAACAUUUGCCUUUAAGAAGUUUGA